UACGGGGGGAGCAAGCGUUGUUCGGAUUUACUGGGCGUAAAGGGCGCGUAGGCGGCCACCGCAAGUCAGUUGUGAAAGCUCUGGGCUUAACCCAGAAAGGUCAGCUGAUACUGCGGGGCUAGAGUGCAGAAGGGGCAACUGGAAUUCUCGGUGUAGCGGUGAAAUGCGUAGAUAUCGAGAGGAACACCUGCGGCGAAGGCGGGUCUCUGGGCAGUAACUGACGCUGAGGAGCGAAAGCGUGGGGAGCGAACAGG
rnacentral:rRNA from 1 species